GGAGGAUAGUCCCAUUGUUUACAUCAUUCUUACUCUGUGUGUUGCAGGAGAGGAUCUCCCCAAUGUGUCUGGGCUUCAGAAUCUAACCUGUUAUUUGUAAUUCUGCUGACACAAAGUAUAGCGUUUUUCGGUGAUGGUAGGACCCAUUUAACAGCACUGCUUGGUUAUGACGGAGAAGAUGGCUGGAUUGGAGUGACCGGUGUUGUCUUCACUUAAUGAGUUGAAUCUACUAUCAACACUCACUGUUGACCGACGACACUUUUUUUUUUUCUUUUCUCGCAGACCACAUCUGUUUGAGACAAAGAACUAAGUGGGGUAGGCAACUUUUGGCAUUCCAGAUGUUGUAGACUACAUAUGCCAUAAUGCUGACAAAGC